rnacentral:tRNA from 1 species
CUGCCGCUGGGCGGCGGCGCGCUGAUCGCGCGGGGCCUUCAGCCCGGCCCGGACGUGGCGAAGGCGCUGGCCGAGGUUCAGGACAUCUGGGUGGCGGA